AUCUUUUUCUGGAGGUUGCUCCCUUUGGAGUUUUUCUGUGAGCCUAGGACACAGCAGGCAAGAAAGUAUCUGCAGAAUCCGAUGUAAGCCAGUGUUUGUAGGAGGGCAAUGUGCACUUCAGAUGCUGAUGGCAGUGGUACUGCAGUAGAAGCUGAACCUUCCCAAUAUUCCACUACAUCUGGUUGCUGUGUGACAGAUGGCAACAGAGGGGCAAUCCAACAAAAUGGUGUCUGACACAGAAGUACGCAUGAAGUAAAGAUGUGGAAUUGAAUUCCUCCAUGCGGAAAAAAUGGCACCCACUGAUAUUCAGUGAUGCUUGCUGAAUGUUGAUGGAGACUGCACAGUGGAUGUGUGCACAAGGUGGUAGGUGGUGCAUUUCAGCAAUGGCAACAGUGACAGUGGGUCACCUCUGCACAGUCUUGCAACAGAGUGAAGUAUACAGGCUCUUGUUCAUUGUUGUUGAAAAUGCAGAGUUAAUAGUGGUGACUAUGUUGAAAAACUGUGUUUUGCUGCUGAGACUAUCAGAUUGCAUUACUGCACUCUUCGUAUCUGUUGUAGUUUCUAUGGAAACAAAUAAGAUGCAUUACUUUCAGGCUGGCCUUUGUAUAUCAAAAUCUUAGGCUGCUGGAGACAUCUCUAAAAAAGUUAAUACACCCCUCAAAGUACAAUAUUAGAGAGUCCUAGGCAAUACUAUGCAAUCUCCUGAAGCUUCUUGUUACCAAGCUGUGUAUUAGGUAGACUUACAUUUUCAUAGAUCACUUAAUAAGGCAUAGAGACAUUGCUACCUCACAUCUGGUUUUGCACACCAUCAGAAUAGCUUUGUUUUGGCUUAGACUUUAAACUCUCUGUAUUCAAUAUCAUUCACAAGUACUUGGCCUCUAGGAUCUCUUUGAAUGUCUCCUCCACUGUCUUUUCCUGUGCUUGUUCCCAGUGACAUUCUCUACACCAUAGCUCCCAGAUAUCCCUCAACCACAAAAGGUAGUUGAAGCAGCUUCCAAAAAUAUCAGCUCCCAGGAGCAGUUGUUCAGUCUUGGAGUAUGAUAUGGUCUCCACUCUGUUCAGUAAAUGAAUUCAUGAUUCUGAAUUCCCAGCUGACAUUAAUAGCAGCAAGGAGCAUGAAGAGAGUUUAAUGUUAAUUUCUGCAGGUAAUGCAUGAAAGCAGAGAGGGAAAGCUUGAAAGGUCAACAUCUGCUGUCAUACCAGAAAGUUGCAAAAUUUGAUUGGCUAGUAAAUGUCAACACCAUGUUCUAAAAUCUACAUGCUAUCCUUUCAAUUUAAUCUUACUUUGCAGCUCAGCUAGAGAUCAUGCAGCAUGUAUCAAAAACCCCUGAGUUUGAAAACAGAAUUGUAUGAUUGCCUUCCCAUGGCAAUACAGCACUUGUAAAUUACAAACUUGUCAUUUAAUCAGCAUAGUAGGUAGUGUACUCCUGCAACUUCUUUAUAUCAAUUUUCAGGGAAUGCUGAAGAAUCUGUAAUAACUAUAUACCAUAAAGAAAUGCAGCUCCAACUGUUGCCAUGGUAUUAUGUACUCGUCUUCUUUAAAAGCAGUGACUAGAAUGUAAAACAGAUAAUGAAUCUAAUUGAUUGUCCCU
ensembl:lncRNA